UACGUAGGUGGCAAGCGUUGUCCGGAUUUACUGGGCGUAAAGAGCGCGCAGGCGGUCGUUUAAGUCGAAUGUGAAAGCCCCCGGCUCAACUGGGGAGGGUCAUUCGAUACUGAUCGACUUGAAGGCAGGAGAGAGAAGUGGAAUUCCCGGUGUAGUGGUGAAAUGCGUAGAGAUCGGGAGGAACACCCGUAGCGAAGGCGGCCGACUGGACCACACCUGACGCUGAGGCGCGAAGGCCAGGGGAGCGAACGGG
rnacentral:rRNA from 1 species